AUGGUGAUAGGGGACCUUAAUGAAAUCCUAUACUCUUUCGAGAAGGAAGGAGGGAAUGAUCGUCCUGAACAGUUUAUGCAAGCUUUUAGAGAUGCUCUGGAAGACUGUAAUUUAUCUGAUCAGGGUUAUGUUGGUGAUAAGUUUACUUGGCAUAGAGGCCUCAUUCGAGAAAGACUGGAUCGAGCACUGACGAAUAAAGGUUGGAAUAUAAAAUUUCCUUUUGCAAAACUGGACCACCUGGACUAUUAUAGGUCCGAUCAUAGGCCGCUACUC
rnacentral:rRNA from 1 species